GUUUUACCCUUCCGGGACAUCCGAUAAAAUUGGAACGAUAUAGAGAAGAUUAGCAUGACCCCCUGUCAAAGGUGAACCCCUCUACCUAUAUACGAAAUUCACCAAU